rnacentral:rRNA from 1 species
GCCACGGCCAUACCAGCCUGGGUACGCCCGAUCUUGUCUGAUCUCGGAAGCUAAGCAGGGUCGGGCCUGGUUAGUACUUGGAUGGGAGACCGCCUGGGAAUACCAGGUGCUGUAAGCA